rnacentral:rRNA from 1 species
CCUACGGGAGGCAGCAGUGGGGGAUAUUGCACAAUGGGGGAAACCCUGAUGCAGCGACGCCGCGUGUGGGAAGACGGUCCUCUGGAUUGUAAACCACUGUCCCCAGGGACGAAGAUGACGGUACCUGGGGAGGAAGCUCCGGCUAACUACGUGCCAGCAGCCGCGGUAGUACGUAGGGAGCGAGCGUUGUCCGGAAUUACUGGGGGAAAAGGGAGCGUAGGCGGGGAUGCAAGUUGAGUGUCAAUACUAACGGCUAAACUGGUAGUCGAACUCAAAACUGCAGCUCUUGAGUGAAGUAGAGGCAGGCGGAAGUCCUAGUGUAGCGGUGAAAUGCGUAGAUAUUAGGAGGAACACCAGUGGCGAAGGCGGCCUGCUGGGCUUUGACUGACGCUGAGGCUCGAAAGUGUGGGGAGCAAACAGGAUUAGAUACCCGAGUAGUC